CCUGCCGGCGACCGGCGCACGGGUGAGUAACACGUAUGUAACCUGCCCUAUGCGAGGGGGAUAACCCGGAGAAAUCCGGCCUAAUACCGCGUAACACCUUUGGGAGCGAUUCCCGGGAGGUUAAAGGAGAGAUCCGGCAUAGGAUGGACAUGCGUCGCAUUAGGUAGACGGCGGGGUAACGGCCCACCGUGCCGACGAUGCGUAGGGGUUCGUGAGAGGAAGGCCCCCCACACUGGUACUGAGACACGGACCAGACUCCUACGGGAGGCAGCAG
rnacentral:rRNA from 1 species